rnacentral:rRNA from 1 species
AAGUUAGAGGUGAAAGCCCAGGGCUCAACCCUGGAAUUGCCUUUAAAACUGGUAAGCUUGAGUAUGGGAGAGGUGAGCGGAAUUCCGAGUGUAGAGGUGAAAUUCGUAGAUAUGUGAAGGAACACCGGUUGCGAAAGCGGUUUUCUAGCCUUUACCUGACACUGAGGCGCGAAAGCUAGGGGAGCAAACAGGAUUAGAUACCCUGGUAGUCCUAGCCGUAAACGAUGUAUACUUGAUGUAGUUAGUCUCAACCCUAACUGUGUCGUAGCAAACGCGAUAAGUAUACCGCCUGAGGAGUACGCUCGCAAGGGUGAAACUCAAAAGAAUUGACGGGGACCCGCACAAGCAGUGGAGCAUGUGGUUUAAUUCGAUGCAACGCGAAGAACCUUACCCAGACUUGACAUGCAGAGGGCGGUAUCAGAGAUGAUAUUUCUCUUCGGAGCCUCUGUGCAGGUGCUGCAUGGCUGUCGUCAGCUCGUGCCGUGAGGUGUUGGGUUAAGUCCCGCAACGAGCGCAACCCUUAUCGUUAGUUGCCAGCAUGUAAUGAUGGGGACUCUAACGAGACUGCCUGGGUUAACCAGGAGGAAGGUGAGGAUGACGUCAAGUCAGCAUGGCCCUUAUGUCUGGGGCUACACACGUGCUACAAUGGUCACCACAGAAGGCGGCAAAACCGAAAGGUGGAGCAAAUCCUAGAAAAGUGAUCUCAGUUCGGAUUGUAGUC